rnacentral:tRNA from 1 species
GUCACCAUGGUGUAGUUGGUUAUCACAUUCGCCUCACAACCGUGGGAACGCGAGAGGUCUCCAGUUCGAUCCUGGAUGGUGACA